UACGGAGGAUCCGAGCGUUAUCCGGAUUUAUUGGGUUUAAAGGGUGCGCAGGCGGGAAAUUAAGUCGGCGGUGAAAUUUUGCGGCUCAACCGUAAAAGUGCCUUCGAUACUGGUGGUCUUGAGUGUGGAUGAGGUAGGCGGAAUUUGUGGUGUAGCGGUGAAAUGCAUAGAUAUCACGAGGAACUCCGAUUGCGCAGGCAGCUUACUAAACUACUACUGACGCUCAGGCACGAAGGCGUGGGGAUCAAACAGGAUUAGAUACCCGCGUAGUCCCU
rnacentral:rRNA from 1 species